ACGCUCGACACCUACGGAGGCAGCAGUGGGGAAUAUUGCACAAUGGGGGAAACCCUGAUGCAGCAACGCCGCGUGAAGGAAGAAGUAUUUCGGUAUGUAAACUUCUAUCAGCAGGGAAGAAAAAGAUGACGGUACCUGACUAAGAAGAACCGGCUAAAUACGUGCCGGCAGCCGCGGUAAUCUGAGCGGGCGUGGCGAAGGC
rnacentral:rRNA from 1 species